CCCUUCGGGGUGGAUUAGUGGCGAACGGGUGAGUAACACGUGGGCAAUCUGCCCUGCACUCUGGGACAAGCCCUGGAAACGGGGUCUAAUACCGGAUAACACCCCCUCUCGCAUGGGAGGGGGUUGAAAGCUCCGGCGGUGCAGGAUGAGCCCGCGGCCUAUCAGCUUGUUGGUGAGGUAGAAGCUCACCAAGGCGACGACGGGUAGCCGGCCUGAGAGGGCGACCGGCCACACUGGGACUGAGACACGGCCCAGACUCCUACGGGAGGCAGCAGUGGGGAAUAUUGCACAAUGGGCGAAAGCCUGAUGCAGCGACGCCGCGUGAGGGAUGACGGCCUUCGGGUUGUAAACCUCUUUCAGCAGGGAAGAAGCGAAAGUGACGGUACCUGCAGAAGAAGCGCCGGCUAACUACGUGCCAGCAGCCGCGGUAAUACGUAGGGCGCAAGCGUUGUCCGGAAUUAUUGGGCGUAAAGAGCUCGUAGGCGGCUUGUCACGUCGGUUGUGAAAGCCCGGGGCUUAACCCCGGGUCUGCAGUCGAUACGGGCAGGCUAGAGUGUGGUAGGGGAGAUCGGAAUUCCUGGUGUAGCGGUGAAAUGCGCAGAUAUCAGGAGGAACACCGGUGGCGAAGGCGGAUCUCUGGGCCAUUACUGACGCUGAGGAGCGAAAGCGUGGGGAGCGAACAGGAUUAGAUACCCUGGUAGUCCACGCCGU
rnacentral:rRNA from 1 species